rnacentral:misc_RNA from 1 species
CGCACCUUGCACUCUUUGGUAUUCCGAAGAGUAUGUCUGUUUGAGUGUCAUGAAUCUCUCAACCCCCCUGUUUUGUAAUGAGACAGGUGUUUGGGCUUGGAUUAUGGCUGCUUGCUGGCCUUUUAAAUAAGACCGGCUCGGCUGAAAUACAAGAGCAACCCAGUUUGAAUGACAACGGUUUGACUCGGCGUAAUAGCAUUAUUUCGCUGAGGACGUUGUGUAUCAAGAUAGUCGGUGCUUCUAAUUCGGCAGAGUGUAAAAGCUCUACCAUCUUAAGCUUUAGACCUCAAAUCAGGCAGGAUUACCCGCUGAACUUAA